CCUCCUGGGAGACAUUCAUGGCUGCCACAAACAGAAAACAAUACAGGAAAUCUGGAAAUGUUUGAUGGUGCAUUUCUCUAAGACCUUCUACGCUAGAAAGACAUUCACCUGGCACACAGAGCUUAUCUCACUGCCAAGGCAGUAUCAGAAACAGGUGCGAUGCAACGUUCCUAGGGUACCGCUGGGGAGGCUACUGCAAAGGAAGGGGCAAAAUGCAGUUCUGUUGGCAGGUCUCUUCACAUCCUGAGCAAAUCAUCCCUCUGAAUCAUGUAAGUUAAUAAAUUUUGUAGUGCAUCGUUUUAUAUUUAUGAU
rnacentral:lncRNA from 1 species